rnacentral:rRNA from 1 species
AGCAGUCGCCGCGGUAAUACGAAGGGGGCUAGCGUUGUUCGGAUUUACUGGGCGUAAAGGGAGCGUAGGCGGAUUGUUAAGUCAGGGGUGAAAUGCCAAGGCUCAACCCUGGAACUGCCUUUGAUACUGGCGAUCUUAAGUCCGGGAGAGGUGAGUGGAACUGCGAGUGUAGAGGUGAAAUUCGUAGAUAUUCGCAAGAACACCAGUGGCGAAGGCGGCUCACUGGCCCGGAACUGACGCUGAGGCUCGACAGCGUGGGGAGCAAACAGGAUUAGAUACCCCAGUAGUCCCUGUCUCUUAUAC